rnacentral:lncRNA from 10 species
GUGGAUGACUAGGAAGUUCUCGGUGUGCAGAGACAUGCCUCACCGGAGGAUGUUACAAAGGCAUAUCAGAAACUGGCCCUGAAGUGGCACCCAGAUCAAUAAAGAAGAAGCAGACAGAAAACUCAAACAAGUAGCGGAGGUGUUAUGAAGGGCUGUCAGAUGCUAAGAAACGGGACAUCUAUGACAAAUGUGGCAAAGAAGGAUGCACUGGUGGAGGGGGAGGUGGAAGUCAUUUUGAUGGUCCAUUUGAUUUUGGCUUCACAUUCCGUAACCCAGAUGAUGUCUUCAGGGAAUUUUUUGGUGAAAGGGACCCAUUUUCAUUUGACUUCUUUUGACGACUUUUUUGGGAAUUGAAGGGGUCCCUGAAGAAGCAGACGCCGAGGGAUGGGGUCGUUUUUCUCCACAUUCAGUGUAUUUCCAUCUUUCGGAAAUGAAUUUUCUUCUUUUGAUACAGGAUUUACUUCAUUUGGGUCACUAGGUCAGGGAGACCUCACUUCAUUCUCUUCUACAUCAUUUGGUGGUAGUGGGAUGAGCAACUUCAAAUCGAUAUCAACUUCUACUAAAAUGGUUAAUGACAGAAAAAUCACUACGAAGAGAAUUGUCGAGAAUGGUCAAGAAAGGGUAGAAGUUGAAGAAGACGGCCAGUUAAAGCCCUUAACAGUAAGUGGU